rnacentral:tRNA from 1 species
UCCCUGGAGGACUAGUGGUUAGGCCUCAGCGCUCUCAAUACUGCGGCCCGGGUUCGAUUCCUGGCCAGGGAA